rnacentral:rRNA from 1 species
GGUUAAGCUAGAAAGGGCGCACGGU